rnacentral:rRNA from 1 species
GGAAGUGGGGAUGACGUCAAGUCCUCAUGGCCCUUAUGGGUAGGGCUUCACACGUCAUACAAUGGUCGGUACAGAGGGUUGCCAAGCCGCGAGGCGGAGCCAAUCCCACAAAGCCGAUCGUAGUCCGGAUUGUUCUCUGCAACUCGAGAGCAUGAAGUCGGAAUCGCUAGUAAUCGCAGGUCAGCAUACUGCGGUGAAUACGUUCCCGGGUCCUU